GUUGACUGAUACAAGCUCAGAAGGCUUUACCACACACAGGAACCUAAGGCAGAAAGCAUAGAUGACAAACAUAAAUGAUAUUGUUGAAGGAUACUACAGAUCACCUGGACAGAAAAAAGAAAAUGCAUAAGAAAUUUGGCCAAUAGAUCACAAACCUGACAUGGAAGUAUAUUGUAGUGACAGGGGUCUGGAUGUCAACCUUUGCAUUCAAGCUCGACUGCAGAGCUUUCUGCCAAAAGAAGGGCUAAUAAAUUUGUGACUUGCCUUAAUAACA